AUUGUGCUUGCACAGAUGACGACCGGCGCACGGGUGCGUAACGCGUAUAGAACCUACCUUUUACAGAGGAAUAGCCUUUAGAAAUGAAGAUUAAUGCCUCAUAGUAUUGUAGACUGGCAUCAGUUUAUAAUUAAAGAUUUAUCGGUAAAAGAUGGCUAUGCGUCCUAUUAGUUAGUUGGUAAGGUAACGGCUUACCAAGACAGCGAUAGGUAGGGGUCCUGAGAGGGAGAUCCCCCACACUGGUACUGAGACACGGACCAGACUCCUACGGGAGGCAGCAGUGAGGAAUAUUGGACAAUGGAGGAGACUCUGAUCCAGCCAUGCCGCGUGUAGGAAGAAUGCCCUAUGGGUUGUAAACUACUUUUAUACAGGAAGAAACACUGGUAUGUAUACCAGCUUGACGGUACUGUAAGAAUAAGGACCGGCUAACUCCGUGCCAGCAGCCGCGGUAAUACGGAGGGUCCGAGCGUUAUCCGGAAUCAUUGGGUUUAAAGGGUCCGCAGGCGGUCGAUUAAGUCAGAGGUGAAAU
rnacentral:rRNA from 1 species